GAAUGGCUCAGGGCCUUUUCCUCCAGGCGGCAAGAGGAUCUGCGUGUGCCCUUCGCAGGGGUGGAGUGGGGGCGGGGGGAGAGGGAGGGGGGUCCAGAGGGAGAAGAAUCGCCGAACAUCUGGGGGAUGCUGACACCCCCGAAGCUGACUUUCUCUCCAAGAAGUUUCUGCCGCCAUCCCUAUUUUAUCAGCAGGAGGCUCCGGCGCCAUCGUCCCAGGCUUUAUGAUUUUUAUUAUGGGGAGGUGGGAAACGCCACCCACGCUCCAAAGCGCUCUGCGACGUGUCCUGCAGCUCCUGUCAAAAUGCAAAUCGCGCAUCGCCGCACGGGAGGGAGCUCCGCGGAGCCACCCUGAGCGCGACGACCCGUCCAAGGGAAGUCCAGGACCCGGCGCCGCGGGCCGACCCAGCACCGGCGCGGAGCCUGACGCGCAGCGGAUUCGAAUAAAUGACGGUCCAGUCCGCCUCCCUUCCGUCAACGUGCCAACCCAUGUCUCCACUCUAGGUCUCGGUUUCCUCGCCUAUAAAAUGAAGAGGUGUCAUCUAUGCAAAAAAAAAAAAAAAAAAAAAAAAUAUAUAUAUAUAUAUAUAUAUAUAUAUA